rnacentral:lncRNA from 1 species
AUGCCACAGGUGCUAUCCCUCUGCCCAUGCCACUUCCCCUUCCUGUCAGGUGCCUACCUUCUCAGUGCUUCCUGGGACUGCAUCUCUGUCAUCCCACACCGAGGAGGGCUGCUGCUUGCCUUCCUGCUUCUGGUUUUCUUGCUGCCACACAAACUGUCUGUCAGAGGACCUAGAAGCUCAGGCAGUGGUGGGCCAGCUGCAGGGGUCCUAUUUUAUAGGGCCCGGAGCAAAGCAGGUCAAGGUGCAUGGAGAUGUGGAGCUCCCUAUCAUAUUAGUACUCUGUUUCCUGUGAGUAUUUUUUGAAUAGUAGAAUAUUGAGGUCAGUUAUGUGUGAAUUUAAAGCAAUAUAGAGGUUAGAAACCUUAAUUGGGAGGAGGGACUUAGAUCCAAUAUUUUAUCGGGCAACUUUCCUGAGAACUGUUUCAUACUGAUUUUUGAGCUAAGCAUUUUCAGGCUACGUCCUGUGGAGAAGGAAGAUAUGUUAGAAGUGCUUUGUUCUCCAGUCUAAUUCUUAGUCUUUCUCAAGAACCUUGUAUUGCCAUUAAGAGAUUGGUGUGGAAGACAGUUAAGAAAACAACUCUCUUCUAAUUGUCAAAUGCUAGGACCCUGACAGAUGUCCUUGAUUUACUACUGCUCAAUAGGAACUCUGCAUGAGUAACUAGAGUUAAGUGACUAUAACAGGGUUAUAUCAUGUUUUUAUAUUUUGGUGCUGCAACACCUCAAGGAUAUUCAAGUAUUCCCUUGAUUUCCGGGGGCAAAGUAACCAUCUGUCUUUGAGGAUGUAGGCUUUCAGAUAAAUUAUCACUUCUUUUCUCAAACCACUGGUUUGAGAACAAGAUGUUAGAAAUGAAAGUCUCCAUUUCUCACCUUGUAUCUACUCUGCUCACCCCGUGAUAACUUUACAUAGACUUAUCUAUUUUCUGGUGUUUUUAUCAUAUCCUAUAUUGGACUAUUACUUUAAAAACAUUAUUUCAAAAUUGUUGAACUUCAUAUCUGAAUCCAGUAUCUUUUUAAUUUAUCAUUAGUGUACUUACAUUAUUUUUGGUAGUCUGCUUUUUACCAGAUGUGGAACACUCUUCCUAACCACACCACCUGCAAGUUUAAUUAAAAGCUAGAAAGAGGUAGAAAGACGAUCAGGCCCCAGCCAAGUUCUGUGCCUCACAGGCAGGACUUCAUGAAAAUACAACUGACGUUAUAGAAAAAGUUUGUUCACUGAAAGGGUGGCUGGGCACUGGAACAGGCUUCCCAGGGAAGUGGUCAUGGCAGCAAGCCUAUCAGAGUUCAAGAAGCAUUUGGACGGUGCUGAGACAUAUGGUGGACCGCCAUUUUGUGUGGUUGUGUGUGGCCAGGAAUUGGACUCGAUCCUUGUGUGUUGCCUUCCAAUUUGGGAUAUUCUAUAUGAUUUAUUAUUAUUAUUAUUUUUUUAAAUAAAGCUAUAGCCUAUUGCUAUUCCUUCUCUUUG